rnacentral:lncRNA from 1 species
GAAUGGAUUGAUCAUUGUCUUCCGUGAUGAUCUUUUGAUGAAGAGUAUUUAAAAAUUAACUAUUAAUUAAUAUAUGUCUCAAAUUUCAACACUUUGAGAAUAUACAAAAAUUAUCUUUGUUAAUUUUUAGGAUAAAUUAUGGACAUAUAAUAUAAUUAGAAUGAAAAAGCUAUUUAUUGAUAAUAAAAAUAUUAAAAGUAUAAGAUUAAAUCUUAGAAUUAUAAAAUAUGUUAGCCAAUAAUUGACUUCUAGGGCAUAAAUCUAACAAACUCCUACUUGACCUGACGUUAAUUGGCCAUAUACCUAAGAUCCAUCUUCUCAAGAUGCGCUUCGAUCUUCUGCUGGCUGAGAGGCUUGGUUAGUGAAUCUGUCACAUUUAGCACAGAGUCAACUCUCUGUACCUCGAUGAACUUCUUCUCGAGGUAUUCGCAUAUGAUGUAAAACCACCACUCUAUAUACUUGGACUUCUGGUGAGACCUAGGCUCCUUAGCGAGGGCUAUGACGUCGUUGUUAUCGCAGUGCAAUGCAAUGACAUCUGAUAGCAUCACACCCAGCUCCACUAUGAACU